AUCGAACGCUGGCGGAAUGCUUUACACAUACAAGUCGAACGGCAGCACGGACUUCGGUCUGCUGGCGAGUGGCGAACGGGUGAGUAAUGUAUCGGAACGUGCCAAGUCGUGGGGGAUAACGUAGUGAAAAUUACGCUAAUACCGCAGACGAUCCAGGGAUGAAAGCGGGGGAUCGUAAGACCUCGCGCGAUUGGAGCGGCCUAUAUCAGAUUAGGUAGUUGGUGGGGUAAAGGCCCACCAAGCCAACGAUCUGUAGCUGGUCUGAGAGGACGACCAGCCACACUGGAACUGAGACACGGUCCAGACUCCUACGGGAGGCAGCAGUGGGGAAUUUUGGACAAUGGGCGAAAUCCUGAUCCAGCCAUUCCGCGUGCAGGAUGAAGGCCCUCGGGUUGUAAACUGCUUUUGUACAGAACGAAAAGGUUUCUACUAAUACUAGGAGCUCAUGACGGUACUGUAAGAAUAAGCACCGGCUAACUACGUGCCAGCCGCCGCAGUAA
rnacentral:rRNA from 1 species